CCUACGGGUGGCUGCAGUGGGGAAUAUUGCGCAAUGGGCGCAAGCCUGAUCCAGCAACGCCGCGUGAAUGAAGAAGGCUUUCGGGAUGUAAACUUCUUUCGACAGGGAAGAGAAGAAGACGUUACCUGUCGAAUAAGCCACGGCUAACUCCGUGCCAGCAGCCGCGGUAAUACGUAGGUGGCAAGCGUUGUCCGGAUUGAUUGGGUGGAAAGGGCGUGUAGCCGGGUUGACAAGUCAGAAGUGAAACCCUAAGGCUUAACCACAGAACUGCAUUUGAAACUGUUGACCUAGAGUACUGGAGAGGCAGACGGAAUUCCUAGUGUAGCGGUGAAAUGCGUAGAUAUUAGGAGGAACACCAGUGGUGAAGGCGGUCUACUGGACAGAAACUGACGGUGAGGCGCGAAAGCGUGGGGAGCAAACAGGAUUAGAUACCCGGGUAGUC
rnacentral:rRNA from 1 species